ensembl:lncRNA
NNNNNNNNNNNNNCGUGGUUGGCCAUGUACAGACUGAAUGUGCACCCUCUAAACAAGACUCUCUCCAUACCUGCCUGAGUCAAAGAUUCUCUACAGUGGUGGACAAUUCACUCCAACCUCUGCUCUGGAGUCCCCUUUCUUCAGCAGGCUCCAUCCCUCAUACUGACGACCGAUGCAUCUCUGACAGGAUGGGGUGCACACAUGUCUCACCACACAGCCCAGGGGCUUUGGUCUUCAACCGAGACCUCUCUCCAUAUAAAUGUCCUAGAAACUUCGAGCCACUCGCAAUGUGUGCCGUCAAUUCCUACCACUGAUCAAGAACCAACACGUACGCAUAAGGACAGACAAUAUUGCAUGCAUGUUCUACGUGAACAGGCAGGGGGGAGCUCGAUCCCAGUCUCUGUGCACAGAGGCUAUGAAACUCUGGAACUGGUGCAUUGCAAACAACAUCCGGGUAUCAGCAGCCUAACUUCCCGGAGUGAUGAAUACCACAGCGGACGAACUAAGCAGACGUUUCCCAUGGGAUCACGAAUGGGAAUUAAACGAGCACACCAUUCACAACAUAUUCCGCAUUUGGGGCUACCCAGCAAUAGACCUCUUUGCAACUGCAAAAAACAAGAAAUGUCCCAAUUUUUGCUCCAGAGCAGGGCUAGGCAAACAUUCCCUGGGAGACGCAUUCAUGAUCCCAUGGCACCAAAACUUACUGUAUAUGUUUCCCCCGAUACCGGUUCUGAACAGGGUCCUGAUAAAAAUACGAACAGAUGGAGACAAGGUGAUCCUAAUUGCCCCAUCAUGGCCCAGACAGCCCUGGUUUCCGUUUCUCACCAAAAUGUCGAUUCGACCACCAAUCCCCUUGCCUCUCAUUCCGAACCUCCUAUCACAACAACACGGCCGUUUUCUACACCCCAACUUAUCCAUGCUCCACCUCAAAGCAUGGUUCCUACAUGGUUCUCCCAAAAUGAACUAGAUUGUUCUGAACAAGUUCAAAGAGUGCUCCUACACAGCAGAACACAGUCUACUCGCACUACCUACCUAUGUAAGUGGAAACGAUUCACACACUGGUGUUCAACUAAACAACUUAGUCCCACAUCAGCAUCUCUUGCGCUCAUACUUGACUACCUAUUGGACCUUAAGCAAUCCGGCCUUUCUUCCAGUUCCAUCAGGGUCCAUUUAGCUGCUAUUACAACUUUUCAUGACAAAAUUGAUGAUACUUCUGUAUUUGCUCAUCCUAUCACCAAGCGCUUCCUCAAGGGACUCCAAACCCUUUACCCAGACAUAAAACCACCCACCACCCCGUGGGACCUUCAUCUAGUUCUCUCUUGCCUAACCCAACAACCAUUUGAACCCCUAGCCACGUGUUCCCUUUUACACCUUUCAAUGAAAACAGCAUUUUUAGUGGCAAUUACCUCCGCCAGGCGGGCAGGAGAAAUAGCAGCUCUUAUGGCAGACCCACCAUAUACGAUAUUUUUCAAAGACAAGGUUACCCUCAGGUUACACCCCAAUUUUCUUCCUAAGAUACACUCCUCAUUCCACAUUAAUAAACCGAUUCACUUACCAACCUUUUUCCCGAAGCCACAUGCGAACUCGUUCGAAGCCUCAGUGCAUACACUAGACGUACGCAGGGCCUUGU